rnacentral:rRNA from 1 species
AGUAACGCGUGAGGAACCUGCCUCAAAGAGGGGGACAACAGUUGGAAAUGACUGCUAAUACCGCAUAAGCCCACAGCUCGGCAUCGAGCAGAGGGAAAAGGAGCAAUCCGCUUUGAGAUGGCCUCGCGUCCGAUUAGCUAGUUGGUGAGGUAACGGCCCACCAAGGCGACGAUCGGUAGCCGGACUGAGAGGUUGAACGGCCACAUUGGGACUGAGACACGGCCCAG